rnacentral:rRNA from 1 species
AUUGAACGCUGGCGGCAGGCCUAACACAUGCAAGUCGAACGGUAACAGGAAGCAGCUUGCUGCUUUGCUGACGAGUGGCGGACGGGUGAGUAAUGUCUGGGAAACUGCCCGAUGGAGGGGGAUAACUACUGGAAACGGUAGCUAAUACCGCAUAACGUCGCAAGACCAAAGAGGGGGACCUUAGGGCCUCUUGCCAUCGGAUGUGCCCAGAUGGGAUUAGCUAGUAGGUGGGGUAACGGCUCACCUAGGCGACGAUCCCUAGCUGGUCUGAGAGGAUGACCAGCCACACGGAAACUGAGACACGGUCCAGACUCCUACGGGAGGCAGCGGUGGGGAAUAUUGCACAAUGGGCGCAAGCCUGAUGCAGCCAUGCCGCGUGAAUGAAGAAGGCCUUCGGGUUGUAAGUACUUUCAGCGGGGAGGAAGGGAGUAAAGUUAAUACCUUUGCUCAUUGACGUUACCCGCAGAAGAAGCACCGGCUAACUCCGUG